AUUGAACGCUGGCGGCAGGCCUAACACAUGCAAGUCGAGCGAGUGGCGGACGGGUGAGUAAUGUAUGGGGAUCUGCCUGAUGGAGGGGGAUAACUACUGGAAACGGUGGCUAAUACCGCAUACCAUCGGAUGUGCCCAGAUGGGAUUAGCUUGUAGGUGGGGUAAAGGCUAACCAAGGCGACGAUCUCUAGCUGGUCUGAGAGGAUGACCAGCCACAAUGGAACUGAGACACGGUCCAGACUCCUACGGGAGGCAGCAGUGGGGAAUAUUGCAAAAUGGGCGCAAGCCUGAUGCAGCCAUGCCGCGUGUAUGAAGAAGGCCUUAGGGUUGUAAAGUACUUUCAGCGGGGAGGCGUUACCCGCAGAAGAAGCACCGGCUAACUCCGUGCCAGCAGCCGCGGUAAUUC
rnacentral:rRNA from 1 species